CCUACGGGUGGCUGCAGUGAGGAAUAUUGGUCAAUGGGCGCGAGCCUGAACCAGCCAAGUAGCGUGAAGGAUGACUGCCCUACGGGUUGUAAACUUCUUUUAUAAAGGAAUAAAGUGAGGCACGUGUGCCUUUUUGUGUGUACUUUAUGAAUAAGGAUCGGCUAACUCCGUGCCAGAAGCCGCGGUAAUACGGAGGAUCCGAGCGUUAUCCGGAUUUAUUGGGUUUAAAGGGAGCGCAGAUGGGUUGUUAAGUCAGUUGUGAAAGUUUGCGGCUCAACCGUAAAAUUGCAAUUGAUACUGGCAGCCUUGAGUACAGGUGAGGUAGGCGGAAUUCGUGGUGUAGCGGUGAAAUGCUUAGAUAUCACGAAGAACUCCGAUUGCGAAGGCAGCCUACCAAACUGCCACUGACAUUGAUGCUCGAAAGUGUGGGUAUCAAACAGGAUUAGAUACCCGGGUAGUC
rnacentral:rRNA from 1 species